CAAUAGCGUAUAUUAAAGUUGUUGCAGUUAAAAAGCUCGUAGUUGGAUUUCUGGUGGGAGCGACCGGUCGGCGCUUAACGGCGUGUGCACUGGAGUUGUCUCUUGCCAUCCUUGAGGAGAACGUGUCUGGCAUUAAGUUGUCGGGCUUGGGAUCCUCAUCGUUUACUGUGAAAAAAUUAGAGUGUUUAAAGCAGGCAUUUGCUGUGAAUACAUUAGCAUGGAAUAAUAAGAUAGGACUUUGGUGCUAUUUUGUUGGUUUGCGUACCAAGGUAAUGAUUAAUAGGGAUAGUUGGGGAUAUUCGUAUUCAAUUGUCAGAGGUGAAAUUCUUGGAUUUAUGGAAGACGAACAACUGCGAAAGCAUUUACCAAGGAUGUUUUCAUUAA
rnacentral:rRNA from 1 species